CAUCCAGCCCCGAUGCGAGGCGAGAUCGAGCCAAGGCCAGGGCCCAGGCUCGCGCCGGGAUUGAGCGGAGGUGCGGGAUUCUGGAUCGAGCAGAAUCGCGGGAUGCGGGUCGCCCGAGGGAAUCAAGCCGAGGCGACAUGCGCGAGGGGAUCAGCAGAGGCGCGUCAUGCGGCAAUAAUGGUCGACGCCUCGUGUGCUAGAAACUGCUCCGCUCACUCUUGAAGCGGAUAAUCAUGGCGUAUUCAUGGCUGGGCAGAAGAUGUGGAAGAUCCAAUACACUGGUAAACACCACAGAGGACGUGGCGUGAUACGGCCGCAAGAGGAUGGCAUACGUUUAGCAGGCCAAGAACUAGAGCAACGGCCCGCACUACCUCUGCAUCUGGGGCAAGGUCUCCUGCCCCCAUGGCAACAUCAACAUAGUCCACGCCAAGUUCAUCUCCAACCUGCCGGUAGAGGCCAUUGGGCGUAAGGUCGGUGUCUUAGUGUACCUGAGCAGCAUCUAAAGGUUAGUUUCCAGAAUUUAUCAGUUAUCUGCUUACCAUUCAGGUGUCGAUUCCAGAAUUUGUUGUUGCUCAAUGGGAAGUUUUCUAAAUCGACUUGUUAGUUGUUCAUGAUUCGAUGAUUUAUUUUUGGUUUGGUCAAUGUUUGAAAUGUUGGUCGCACACUUGCAAUGUGCUGUCAUUCUUCUGCAGAACGAAUUGUGCAAUUUGAAAGUGUGAAAACGGGCACUAGGUGUGUGUACUGAUUACUGAAUUUGGUCCCACAUAAAAGUUUGCACUCUGGGCGAUAUUUAGGCCAUUCUCCUCUGCCCAUCUGAUGGGCAAGGUGUAUGGAUAUUUCUGUUCAUACAACAUUGCUGGACAUGUUACUUCACCAUGAUCAAAUGAGUAAUAGUCUCUUGGAUUUUGCACAUCCUUUGCGUCCUUUGCCACUUCACGCAUUUGCAUGGACUGUCAACAAUUCAUUAUUUUUAAUGAAGAAUGUCUUAUAUACACUGGAUAAGAUAAGAUAGGGGCGGACGAACUAGGGCUGCUGCGAGGCCGAGGUGCCAGACGGCCUAAUUAUUAGAGUGAUGAUUUCCACAUGUAAUGAUGCUACGCUCAUAUUUUUUGCAUAAGAAUCUUCAGAUUUUACAUUGAAAUGUGGACCUAUAGCUUGUAGAUGAUGUAUGAGGUUUGAAAUCUUCAGUGGUUCUUCCAGUUAAGGAGAGCAUAUGAGGUUUUCUUCCUGCUCUUAGUUGGCCUCUUGGGUGAUAUUUUUUGGACUAAUUUAAGGAAUCAGGUAAGCAUUCACCUUACAAGUCAUAAUAACUUUUCCGUAAAAUGGUGCAUCUGUUAAGUUUCUCAGCAAAGCGCACCACAAAUGUGACCAGAGCACUUCACAAUGGUCAUGGAAUUACAGUAACUAUUGGGGUAGUGAUUAUUUAUGUUGACACUCUUCUGUUCGUUGUCAAGCAAUUCAGUAUUGGUGUUGAUGGACU